AACGAACGCUGGCGGCAUGCCUAACACAUGCAAGUCGAACGAGACCUUCGGGUCUAGUGGCGCACGGGUGCGUAACGCGUGGGAACCUGCCCUUAGGUUCGGAAUAACUCCCCGAAAGGGGUGCUAAUACCGGAUAAUGUCUUCGGACCAAAGAUUUAUCGCCUUUGGAUGGGCCCGCGUUGGAUUAGCUAGUUGGUUGGGUAAAAGCCUACCAAGGCGACGAUCCAUAGCUGGUCUGAGAGGAUGAUCAGCCACACUGGGACUGAGACACGGCCCAGACUCCUACGGGAGGCAGCAGUGGGGAAUAUUGGACAAUGGGCGAAAGCCUGACCCAGCAAUGCCGCGUGAGUGAUGAAGGCCUUAGGGUUGUAAAGCUCUUUUAACCGGGAUGAUAAUGACAGUACCGGGAGAAUAAGCUCCGGCUAACUCCGUG
rnacentral:rRNA from 1 species